UACGUCUCGAAAAACGAUAAACUUAAAAAAGUCAUGAAUAAAAAUUUUGAUGGUAGAUUUUAAUUUAUAUACUCAUUCCGACCAAUAGAUGGUGUUGAGACACCAGUCAAGCCACACUAUAUUAACAAAAGACAAAAUCGGGAGAGAGGGAGAGAGAGCGAGACGAUGAGAGAAACAAUAAUGCAACUCAACAGCCAUCCAUUGCGCAUGAGAUCUUCAUUGACAAAAUCUCUGAGUAAAAAAAGCAUUGGGAGCUCUUGUAAAAUAUUAUAUCGAUUGUUGUUAACAACAUGUCCGUCACAUUGUAUUGAAUAUUCUGCAGUAUUUUUGCAAAACAAAAUGAAAGUAAAUUCAUUACGAUUCCGACCUUUCGUUUUAUUUUGUGUUUACCUCUGAAUGCAGUGUAUUUGGUAUUUUAAAUCGUCAAAUGAUUUCUUAUUACAUGUUUAUCUGCAUUGAAUGUUUGUGUUUAAUCAAAAAAGUUUGAUGUGCUUUUAUAAUUUUUGUAUGCCAGGAGUUGCUUUCCUAACCACCGACACUUCCAGUGUAUCAUAUAGUUUGAAUAAAUAUAUUUCCGUCAAUCGUUCAAAAUUCGAAAAAUGUGAAUCAUUUCAAUAAAGUUUUUUCGAUUGUAUUGAGUUUCACAGUAUUUUCCACCCAAAAGUAAAGUACAUGUUCAAAUGAUUCUUUUUAUAAAAGAAUUUUAGUUGUGUAAAAAAAAAAUAAGUAGAACAUCUUAUAUCCGUGUAUUUCUAAUAAAACAUUGUGAACUUCACGCAUCCAAGUAUUGAAAGCUAAAAUAAUAGGACUUAUUUAAGGUUAAUCUUCAACAUUCCACUUCGAAUUUUAGCUAUAUCCAUGCACCGAUGUGCGAGAGAAAUUGACCGUUACAGCGUUUGUCUGAGUCGUUGAGAGAAGAAAUUAAAGAAUGUUAAAUCUUGAUAGUGUAUGCAUUUAUUUUAAAAUGGAUAUAAAUAAAUAGUGAAAAUUGAUUAUUUCUUGUGAGAAAAAAAAAAGAAUUGUGGUGAAUAUAGUUCUUUUUACCGUGAAACUAAGUAAUAAAACCAAAAUUCAAGAAAUUUUUAGUAGCUAUUGGAUAAACAUU